UUUAUAAAGGUCAGCUCUGAGGAAGUCCGGUGGCUGCUCGGCAGCCAGCAGAGGGCUUGUCGGUCACAGUCUCUGUGAUUAGCGGCCAGGGCGACAGGCAAAAGAGAAGGUCUGUGAGGGUGGGAGGGCAGAGGCAGAAUCCCAGGCAACCAGAGCCAGCACCCCUGAGCAGGGCAGGGGGCAGAUACCUGGAGAGGUCACGGACACCAAGAGAGGUCAUGGACACCAACCAGGACGUGUGCCUGAGGACAGGGAUGCCUCCCGACACACACAGGACUCCGGAGGCCGCACUUGCAUCCCGCACCUCACCCUGCGCCCUGCCAUGGCCCUCGCCCUCCCUGGGGCCUCGGGCAGCCACGCCCCUGCACUCACUCUUCUGCCCACUCCUCACAGGCAGCUCCCAGCAGAGAAUCCGUGAGGGCACGAGCCUCUGGGGGCCAGGGGCCACGCUCACUGGCUCCCCGGGAGCUGGCAUUUUCUGUCUCAUCACACAGCAUCAAGGAGAAGCUUAUGACCUCUUAGGGUUUCAGCAUCGCCCAACAGUCAACAGAGUUUGCAAACCUUAUCCUUGGAAGGCACAUUUCUGGAAAAGACCCAGAGCUGUAUGCACGGGCGGCAGAGUCUAGAGGAUGCGCUCAGGUUGCUGCAGUUGAAGGUGAUCUGACACGCGUUGGGGGUGCAGAAAAGUGGACGUGAAGCUUGCUUCCAGUGGCAGCUGGGGAGGUGACCACCAGGCAUGCUCCCUUCUCUGGCAGUCAAGUGCUGGGGAUCACCCACAGCAUGUCUCCACGCUAGUGGCAUUCUGCGGCGCGUAAGAGCAAAUGGAUACACAGACCCUGCCAGUGGGGAGUGGCCCAUGGUCCCAUUCUUCUUUUGAUUAACAGGUAAUCAAAUGUGGAGUAAACCACUUCACGUCUCUUGGGUCAUCGAAUGCAAUCCCAUACAUGCUACUUCAGGGCACAACCACACACCACUCAUUCUUAGUCUCCUGCUGAGUCCACAUCACUGCAGAGCAAGGGUCUACUUGGCCCAGACACGGGGGUACUGCUCAUGUAGUUUGCAUCAAUCCCACUGAAGCCAAAACUGAGGGUUCACAUAUGUCCCCUAUCCUCUGUCAAUAUGCAGGCUGACCCUCCAGUGUGGAAGAUGGGUCCGGGUCGGCGUCUCAGUGGCACAACUGGGUGGUUUUCCCCCAUUUCCUCUGUGUGUGUUGUGCAUUCCACCAGCAGUGACUAACUAAGCCUUUUCCUCGUAAACAGAAUCGAAGGAAGUAGGAAGAACCCAGGGGGCCAGUACUCAUAGUUAGCAUGACCUUAUUUCUGGGAAGAAGCCAUUCCAUUUCUCCUCCUGGCUACCUCACCAGCCCGUCAAAAUAUGAACCAGGCUUCUCUACUUUCAGUCAAGUAAGUUCUCUACAUUGAUGAUGCUCCUUGUUAGAUGAUCACGGUAAUGUUUCUUCCCUAGCUUGGUAAGAGAAACCUUCACGCUGUCAUCGACUCGUGCCCGGAGACCCCGGCAGCACAUCUGUCCUUCACAAGGAGCGCCAGCACGUGACCUCUCACCGCGGGCUGGUAAGUGAUGUCCUGGGCAUCUAUGCGUAUAUGAGCUUUCAUAGCUGUCUUUCUCACUGGGCAUGGAGCUCCCUGAGAAUAAGCCUAUGGUCUUGUUCAUCUCCUUAUCUCCCUGAAUCUAGCACAGGGAUUCGUACUUUCAAAUAAAUGCCAAGUCAAUGAAUGAAGACACUCAGAGACCCAGUGCUUCAGGAGAUUUCCCCCAACCACAGCCUGAGCUACCUCCCUCGUUGCCGUCCUCCCAACACCCCACAUGCACCUUUGAGUCCCCAUCACAACAAUAAUUUAAGACUAAUUUCGGUGAUUGUCUGUUGAACGCCUGCCUUCGUUGCUAGGCUGUGAACUUGUGUAUUCUACGAGCCCUGGGGCCAUGUCUGUUUUGUUCGCAGCUCUGGCACAGAGCAGCACUUAAUAAAUAUUUGCUGAAUAAAUAAGACAAUAAUUCUUGGCUGUCAGAAGAGAAU